AAAAAAAAAAAAAAGACAAUAGACAUACUUAUCCAUCCAAGUACAUAAACAGCACUUAUACAUUAAGCAUAAAAUCAAAUUGUAAUAAAGGCAAAUUAAAAAAAAAAAAAAAAGCAUUACAAAGGAGAAAGAACUGAACAAACCACACAAACAGGAGACCGGCAAAAACAGUAAUUGUAUCAAACGCAUUACAAAUUUAAUCUUCUUAAUUAAUGGGCAGCAGUUUCUUUGUCCUUCUCCUUUUCGUCCUCAGACUUGGGGUGGUAGCCAGGGAGCUUCUCCUUGAGUUUCUCCAAUAUGCCCUUCUUCUCCUUGGCCUCUGCCUCAUGAGCCUCGACUGAUGUGGGGUGCUCAGCAGCAGGAAGAGAAGGGACCUGAUGAUCUUCAGGUUUCUUUUGCUGUCCUGGUAGUUUCUCCUUGAUCUUGUUGAGAAAUCCUUUCUUUUCUUCAGGAUGGGCUUCUUCCUGGUGGUGGGGAGCAUGGACAUCAUCAAGUUUCUCGACAGGGACAGUCGUGUCCUCUUCUUUCUCACCUGAUAUUUUCUCCUUGAGCUUCUCCUUCAGUCCCUUCUUUUCCUUCUUCUUCUUCUUCUUCUUUUCCUC
rnacentral:lncRNA from 1 species